rnacentral:hammerhead_ribozyme from 10 species
AACAGGUUGGGAGCUGUUGUCGCUUCCCUGAUGAGCCCUUGGCAUGGCGAAACCAAUG